rnacentral:rRNA from 1 species
UAGGGAAUCUUCCACAAUGGGCGCAAGCCUGAUGGAGCAACACCGCGUGAGUGAAGAAGGGUUUCGGCUCGUAAAGCUCUGUUGUUAAAGAAGAACACGUAUGAGAGUAACUGUCAUACGUUGACGGUAUUUAACCAGAAAGUCACGGCUAACUACGUGCCAG